GUGGGAUCUGAUCGUAUGAGGUAGCCUAACAUAGUCUCAAGGGAAAGGGGUCCUUGGAUCCCUGACGCCCUCCAGCUCCUCUGGUUUCUGUGUGUCUGGAGACUGCUUGCCCGGUUGGCUGUCUUGGCUCAAGCGGUGGUCCACAGGUCUGGAGGUCCGUUGGUCCAGGCCCAGUGAUGUGUCCUGCUUGAUGUCUCCCUCUCUGCAGCCUCACACAAUUCUCCUUUGAGUCUCUGCCUGGCCUCAGUCUGCUCUAGCCGACUCCCAGGAGGAGCUUCACUGAGAAUCUAACUGGCUCUCCACUCAGCUGCUUUCUGAGUUUUGUGUUCUAGAGACUUCUAGGUCCCAUCCACAGUGUAAACAGAAAACAGAGAUGGUGCUGGAAAGCUGAACUGGCACUCCCUCAGCCUAAUUACUGUGCAGUACAGCCAAAUAGACUUUUCUAUGGCCACUCUGUUGGUGUGAUUGGGGCAGGGGCAUCUAUGAACCAAUUUCUUCUAAAAGACCCUCAGACUGGAAAUUCUCCUCAAUGAUCUAAUAUAUCAUGCUUUUUCCAAGUUAAAUUCAGAGGAGGAAAUUCACUUUUCUCAUCCCCAACCUCUCAUGUCUCCUCCUCUCUGUUUUUCUACUUCUCACAUUCCUUCAAGGCUGACCGAGGCAAGUUUGUUUGUAUGUUUUUUUUCAUAUUUUCUUUUUAUAGCUGAGACGUCUCUCAUAUCCUAGUCUCCUCUUUCUGAACUUCAGCCUUGUUGCUAAGUAUUAUUCUUAAACGGGGAUGGAAAAGAGCGAAAGAUUGGCUUAAAUAUGAGGGCCACUGAGUUUGAGAGGUAUUUCCGCAAUAUGUGACCUAUUUACACAAAUUACAGAGCUGCCAAGAAAUUGGAGGUCGUGGAUCCUGGAAACAUGUCGUAAGAAAGGGCUUUAGAGACACAAGACAGCAGCGGGCUUAAGAUGGAAGUUGACUCGAGCUGUGAUGAAGCAGAACUCCAUGCUUUGCCGAGACCACAGUAAGGAAGGAGAACAGCUCCUGGAAGCAAAUGACAGGCAAAGUUUUAGAGAAUAAAACUGAGGCCAACGAGUCCAG